rnacentral:rRNA from 1 species
CGGGGUGCAGCAGGCGCGAAAACUUUACAAUGCUGGCAACAGCGAUAAGGGGACCUCGAGUGCCAGGAUACAAUCUUGGCUGUCGCGAUGCCUAAAAAGCAUUGCAUAGCAAGGGCCGGGCAAGACCGGUGCCAGCCGCCGCGGUAACACCGGCGGCUCGAGUGGUAACCGCUAUUAUUGGGUCUAAAGGGUCUGUAGCCGGCCGGAUAAGUCUCUUGGGAAAUCCAGCAGCUUAACUGUUGGGCUUUCAGGAGAUACUGUUCGGCUCGAGACCGGGAGAGGUGAGAGGUACUUCAGGGGUAGGGGUGAAAUCUUGUAAUCCUUGAAGGACCACCAGUGGCGAAGGCGUCUCACCAGAACGGAUCUGACGGCAAGGGACGAAAGCUAGGGGCACGAACCGGAUUAGAUACCCGGGUAGUCCUAGCCGUAAACGAUACUCGCUAGGUGUCAGCCACGGUGCGACCGUGGUUGGUGCCGUAGGGAAGCCGUGAAGCGAGCCACCUGGGAAGUACGGCCGCAAGGCUGAAACUUAAAGGAAUUGGCGGGGGAGCAC